UUGGGGGUACAUAUGCAGAUUUGUUAUAUGGGUAUAUUGCGUAACACUGAGGUUUGGGCUUCAGUUGAAUCCAUCAUGUAGUUAGUGAACCUCGUAUGCAAUAGGUAGUUUUUCAACCUUUGCUCCAAUCCUUUCCUUUCCACAUUUGGAGUCCCCAGUGUCUGUUGUUUCCAAGAUUGCCCUUUUAACCAAUGGUCAGAGACUCAAAUGUCCCCUCGUCUACCUAUAGCCAAAUACAGCAAUCCCUUCUAGACACCACUUACCGAUGGCUGUCCAGUGAGCCAUAGGGGCUCGGAGUUAGUUUAGAUUUUAUAAAUGGAGGUGGACUCAUCCCUUCUCUUAUCUGGCACUUCACUCAGGGCAUUUGUUCGAGGCAGCAAGCCAGCAUCAGAGAUAAUCUAUCACUAUAGAAGAGAGGAACAGUGACCAUGCACUUAGCCCCAGUGGCACCUGAUGCCAACCAUUGUGCAAUCUGGUCCUUUGCUCAGACAUGUCUGCUCAAUAAGUCCUUGUAGAAUUCACAGUCAGUUUUACAGCUGCAUUACCUUUGCCCCAAGCAUGGUUAGAGGAAUCAGCAGGAGCAUGAGGGUUUCUGCAAUAAUCUACCAGUGAAAUGAUGAUCAAGAUCUUGGAAAGCACUCUACUGGUCAAGCAGAAUAGUUCCUGUCAUCUCCAUUAAGAAUCAGCUUAUUGGCCGGGCGCAGUGGCUCAUGCCUGUAAUCCCAGCACUUUGGGAGGCUGAGGCGGGUGGAUCACGAGGUCAGGAGAUCGAGACCAUCCUGUCUAACAAGGAAUCCUUUCUGGCACUCAAGAGUUUUCAAUUCAAUCCUGAUGAAUGAAUCAUUAUUUGAUACCAGCCUAAGUGAAGACUCUGCCUGGUGACUUUUGCAAGGUGGUUUCUGGCUGCAACAUGGGAAGAUUUGGGAUCAGUGAGAUGGAAGAGAUUUUUCUGGCUACUAGCGUUCCUAAGAAAGAGCUUUAGUGUUUAUCCAGCUAUUGGUAUGCAGACAACUAUACCCUUAUGAGAAACACUAGCAGAGAAGAAGAGUUCUUGACUGGGUCUGGGCCAUGAAACUGACCGGAUAAAAGUGGGAGAAGAAGAGAUGUUGAAGGAGGAGUUUGCUGUUUUCUCAGUCUCCUGAGAAAUUCCAGGUUUGGAUGCUUCCUAAGGCCAUUCCCACUCUCCUCUAUCUAAACCAGAGAGAACGAUUGCUUGUCCUUAUCACAUUAUCCUUGCUUUCACUGUAAAUGAUGAUAAAUAAUAAUCUCUACACUUGCAUUUGCAUACAGCACUGCGUGCUUUUUCAAAGAACACUCAAGUCUGUUCUCACAUUUGAUUCUCACACCAGGCUUGGAGAUAUUUGAGGCAUCUCCUCCCCCCAAACUCAGUUGGACAGAUCAGAAAAAUGAGGUCCAGCAAACUGAAAUGACUUGCUCCAGAACUCACAGACAAUUAAUGACUAGAACCCAGGUCUUCUAACUUCCUACCAAUUAUUGUGAGGAGAGCCCAUAAAGGAGAAAAGGACAAGGGAUGAUCUAUGGAACAUUCAAACUCCUGUCUCUAGUUGCCUUUUUCUGGUUGUUUCUUGGAUAUCACGCACUCUCAUCAGCAGCCUUCCUACUCUUACAGAUUAUCAACACCUGUCCCAAAAUCCUGGGGCCAGCCAUGGUGCUUGGGCUUUUUUUCCCACAUCUAACCAUUCCGCAGCAUAUAACAAAUCCUUGACAAAUUUCCAGUGGAAAAAAAUAGCAGAAACCAUACACCCUCCAUCUGUGAAUUGAUGUGGCCAAGAACAGGCUUAUUUCAAAGGGUGCACCAUAGAAUAGUCGUAAGACUCAACCCCUCCAAGACUAGCUGGUGCUUAUCCCGCCCAUAGGCAGUUAAAAGGACUUUAUUUGCAUCUUAUUCUUUCCAACAGAAAGGCAAACAUUAUUAUUACAAUUCAGUAAAUUUCCAUAAGGAACCCCAUUGAUACAUGUUGUAUAUUUUGGGUUCUUUUGUUUCAUACUGAGCAUACCAACAUUAUAUCAAUAUUAUAUUUAUCUAGCAUUCUCCCAUAUUCAUAGAAAUAGAGAACUCAUCAGCCUUUAAAAAGAACUCAAAUGCACACAAAAUUUCACCCUCUAGAAAAGCAUCAAUGAAAAUGAUUUUGCAAAUAUAUAUACUUUUCAAUAUGUAAGUAUCUACAAAAAAAUUGAUAAUAAUUAAAUACCUGUAAAGUGCCAUGCACUUUACCUGUAUAUCUCAUUUAAUUCUCACAACAACCCUGUGAAGUAAGAAUUACUACGCCCAUUUUAUAGAUGAACUAGCUAGGAGUCAAAGACAUUGAGCCACUUGCCACACAUUUACAGCACGGAGCUACAAAGAUCUGGGACUUGAAUCCAGAUUUUCUAACUCCAGAGCCAAAGCUUUUCUUAAUAUGCCACAGGAGCAAGCACAGGAGCUUGCUCCAAAAGUCAAGUUAAUUUUUAGGAAAGAAUUAGGUAAGCAAAUAUUCAUGAAUUAGAGAAUGUCUUUAAUUUCAGAUCCAAAUCACUUGGUCACUUAAAAAUAAAAGACAAUAAAUCAUAAGGGAUUCUACUUGACUUAUUAUCUAAAGUGAUUAAUAAGAAUGACAUUUCCCCACCAACCCCAAAUGAAAAAAUCAAUUUGGGAAGUUUCCCAAUAAUUUAAACUUGAAACACUAAUCUGAAAAAGAAAAUCUAUAUAUCAAAAGUCUUCAUAGUAUGGCACAAAUAAAACAGAAUCUUAAUUUCCAAUUUCUAUUAAACUGAUUUUUCUUUUAAACUGGAGCCAGAAAGCCAAAAAGCCUUCAAAUCAAUUGAGCCUCUUGCAUUUUAUUUAAGAGGUUUCAUUUUUCAAACCAAAGCUGGGAAGACAAAACAAGCUUAUUUAAUUCACACCCCAGAAUUGUAAUUUCUCUGUUCAAGCCAAUGUCUAAGUGCCUGUAUUAAGGGCUUCCCACUGACCAUAAUGUGUUAAUUCAUCAUUGCACACAAUUUUCCUUUGUACUUUUAAGCUACUCUUCAUUUUCCCCUUGGUUAGGGUUGCCUAUACAACAGAGGACACCCAGUAAAACAUAAAUUUCAGAUAAACAACAAAUAGUCUUUACAUAAGCAUGCCCCCUGCAAUAAUUGAGACAUACUUAUACCCCCAAAAUUAUUUAUCUGAAAUUCACAUUUAACUAGACAUCCUGUAUUUUUAUUUGCUAAAUCUGGCAACCCUAUUCUUGAUCCAUUGUGGGUAUUCCCAGGACUUCACCUCUAAACUAUUAUAUUUUUCAAAUACAUUAUUUGUAUGUUUUGUGGUGUGUAUGUGUGUGUGUGUGCACGCGCGCGUGCCUCUCAGAAUGGAGGUUCUGGAGCAUCUCUCACUCUUGAGACCACAGCCAUCUAUCACUUUGGUUAUCAAUGUGUCCUCUAUCGUAUAUAUAAUUAUGUAUUAUGUUAUAUAUAUAUAUAUAUACAUAAUUUAGUGUGAAACUAGCCAGGACCAUUUUGAAAACGAAAAGUCAGUGGUGGGAGGUGGGAAGGAGUGUGUUGGGAGAAACUUUACCCACCACGUAUUAAAAGGUAUUAUAAAUCUAUACUGAUUAAAACAGUUUGGUUCUAGUAUGUGAGUAGAUAAAUUAACACCACAGAAUAGAGAUUACCCAAUUCUUUACCCCAAAAUAAGUUCUAGAAAUAUAAAGGAGUCAAAUGGAAAAUGCAAUUGUAAAGACACCAAGAGAAAGCAUGGAAUAAUUAUAUGUAGUCUUGAAGUGAAAAUGAUUUUUCUAAGGAAGAUGCAAAAUCCAGGAAGUAAAAAGAAAAAUUUCAUAAAUCUAGCUACAUAUAAUUUUCAAAACUUUUUUCAUGUAGAAAAUAUAAUAAAUGCAGUCAAAAAGCAAUUUAGGGGAACAUCUUCAAUUUAUCUCACUCAGGGUGGACUAAGUUAUUUAAUAUGUAAAAAUCUCUUGCAAAUCAAUAGAAAAAAAGCAAAAUCAUGAAUAGAAAAAUGAGUAAAGGCUAUAAAUGGACAUUUCACUGAAAAACAGCCAUACAAGUUAAUAAACACACAGAAAAAGAGGCUUAACCUCACUGAUGAUUAAGGCAAUGCAAGUUAAAGCAAUAAUGAAACAUCAUUUCCCUUCAUUAUAUUGAAAAAGAUUAAAAGCUAGAUAAUGUGUAGUAUUGAUGGGGAUAGAGAGAUGGGCAUUUCAUAACUUGUAGAUGAGAUUAUAAAUUGGUGCAACGUCUUUGGAGGGCACGAUUUUGCAGUAUCUUUUAAUAUGAAAAAUGUAUUUAUCCUUGACUAAGUAAUUCCCAUUCUAGAAAUGUAUAUUAUGAAAAUACUUGCACAGUAUGCAAAUGUAUACAAGUAUAAGGGUGUCCAUUGCAGUAUUAUUUGUGUUAAUGAAAAAUGGGACUAAGGCAAAUGUCUAUUAUAAGAGAUAGGAUAAAAAAUUUAGUGCAUAUUCAUAUAUUGAAAUAAUAUUGUCAAUUAAAAAAUAAAACUGAUCCACAUGUGUGGAAAUAAAAUUAUUUCCCAAUUUAAUUUGUUGAAAUUUUUAAAAGACUCACAAUGGUGUGCAGGUGAAUGCCCUUUUUUAAUAAGGAAAGAUGCAUAUAUGUACAUAUGUUUGUAUGUGCAGAAGUAGACUGGCUUUUUUAUAUCCUUUUGUACUCUGAAGCUUUCUGUAUGAAUUGCAUGUAUUACUUUUUCAAUAAAAAACCUAA
rnacentral:lncRNA from 1 species